ensembl:lncRNA PCBP1-AS1 PCBP1 antisense RNA 1
GGGGCGGCCGCCAUGUUUCCUGAACACAAAAUGGCGACACGUGGUUAGCAUUCGUCGCCAACGAGAAAUUGGGGUCGGCCCGAAAGCUCUAGAAUGCACCCCUCUUCCUCCCCGGGGCCUUCCACCUCCGCGAGUUUUAUGACUUAAAAAAGCCCACAGGCUGGUCUGAAGAGGAAGACAAACAUAAAGAUGAAGUGCUUAAUUCAAGGUCACACAAUGUCGGGGAUGGACCUCCAGAUUUCCUUACUGGUGAGACGUGGUCUUGUAACACAGUGGUUAAGAAUGUGACUUUGGAGCCAGCCUGCUAGGGGCUGAAUUCUGACUCAGCCAUUUACUAACUGUGUGACCUUAGGUCACAGAAUUUUCCACACUCCUUGACAGAGGUGCUUAACCCUUAUCCAUCAGCAUUCUCAGACAGCACCUCCGGUUAGGGACAGUAUCUGACCGUCCGACAUCCCUGCAGCCCCCAUGUGUCACACAGACUCAGCCUCAGGUAGAUGGUUUCCGUAGAUGGUGGCUUUCUUUGGACCCUUGACAUCAACCAGUUACUAUUUGACUCUUCUGCAGAACCCCAUGUUGACCCCUGCUUUGAGGUGGCAGAGUUAACACUACUCUUCGUUAUAAGCUCUCGUCUGGGGCAACUCAGAAGAACCUCCUGCAACCACCGCUGUACUUUCUGUCUCUAUGAACUUGACUACUCUAGACACCUCAUGGGACCAGAUGUGCAGAGGUAAUGAAUACCAGGGAAUCAGGAAACCACUGGAUCAGUUCUUUGAGCCACAGAACAACACUCAUCCCAGCAGCUGGGAAGCUAUCUGCAAAAGUCCAUCUGCAGAAAGGGCUUCCUGGUCUUGCGUGUGGCUGGGCCAUUUCUCUGGAUGCAGGUUUUUCAUUAUACAGUCUUCUCAAAGAACCACCUGCUCUCAACACCUUCUCGGUGACUCCAUUUCCCCUCCUCUGGGCUCCUGGAAUGCCACAAUGGCCCCACCUUAGCCAGGCAGCUGUGAUGAGAGGUGUUGACCCAACUGCCUCUCUGCUGGCUCACUGAAUCAGGUGGAAGGGGCUGGGGACAGCACAGUCUUGCAUUGUGGUUGGGGACCUGGGCCAUCCAGAGGCAGGACUGUCCAAAGGCAGGGUACUGCUGGGAUUCCGCCAGGCACUGGGUGAUGCAUGGCAUAGGGAGCUGAAGAGGGACAGGCUCUUGGCCAGGAAAAACAGCCCCAGAGCCACAGGUGUGCCAUCGAGUCUUCCUCCUCUCCCAUCCUUAAUCACUCCUGUUUGGUGACAGCACACAGCUAGGCCUGGAGCCCAGCAAAGAGCCCCUGGGUCCCAGAGGAAGUUGUUCUGGGGGCUGGAGACAAUCACAAAUGCCAGGUUUGUGAGCCCCAGACUCUGGUUCAUAGCAAGAGGCAGACUUGUGAACAAACCACCAGAUCACACCGUAAAACACGCUCAACGAGGAGUGGGUGCCCUUUCUAGGGACAGGCAGAAGGCUCCAUGGAGUGACCUUUGAAUGGGGACAUAAAAGUGGAUCCCUUCAACAGCCCCUGCACAGCCCCAAGUCAGGCCUCCAGCCCUUGGACUCACAGAUGUCCUCUGUAGACGACUGGAUGUCCUCCCGUGCUACCCUUUACCCCUGCAGCGAGGGGCACAGAGCCAGAGCCCUCCAGGUCCUCACCACUGGCAUCACCAACAUAGUGGACAUUUUCCCUCUCAGAAUGAAAAGGGAGUGAAAUUUCCCGUGAUCUUUCCACAAAUGACCAGCUUGGGGAGUGGGAGAGGAAGUGCUGCAGUGCCUGGGGAAGGGGCCCUGGAACAGUUCCUGGAAAUGGAGAGGGGUGGAUAGGGUGGAGACAAUGCUCAUGGAGUGCAGUAUGGGGCCUACCCAGAGUUGCUUGGCCACCCCUCUGCCUCUGAAUCAGGGGUGAUCAAUGAAGGAAAAUUACUGCAGCAGUUGAGUCCAUGUAAGAUGAUUGUGCACGUGUGUGUGUGUGUGUGUGUGUGUGUGUGUGUCCUCACUCACUUAAAAAAGACCAUUUCUGUGCAUUCUUUAUGCUGGAACCCUCCUCUGCCUCCCUCUCCAGGAAAUCCCAUAGGAUCCCAUACCUGCUUUAGAAUGUGUGUGAGACACUUCCCAGUGCCUGGCAUGUGGUAGGAGCUCAGUACAUGUAAACUGUUUUCCUUUGACCACUCAAAGUAGUCACUUGUUGGGGAGGCCAAUGGCGGCUUCCCCGGUCUCUGAGCUGAUGGGCGUCUGGUCCCUGCCUCCCCUUCCUUCACUGGCUGAUGACAAAUACCUGAAUGUCAUCACAUCCUCCGUGUCCUCAUCUGUUAUUCUGGAACACAGGCCAGGGAGGGUACAGGGUAGUCCCCCUUCAACAGAGGCUGGCCUUUCUUGGGAUGUGGGCUGGCUGGUGUUGGUCCAAGGAUGGAUGCAGAGGGUGAGGCACCCAUCCUGCUAGUCCGGCCGGAUGCUGGCAGGAGGGCGGGGUGAGGAGGGGCGGAGCUUCCAGAACAAAGGAGAAUGGGGAGCCCAGGGGCCAGCCUAGGCAUCAAAAAGGCUCUGCAGAGUGAACAGGCCACAGCACUGCCUGCCUCUGCCCCAGCAGUCAGCCAGCCGACCGCGCCUGCUCCCUCCUGCUUGCCCAAGGCCGGGCAAGUCAUCCCCACUCUGCUUCGAGAGGCCCCGUUUUCCAGCGUGAUUGCGCCGACACUGCUCUGUGGGUUUCUCUUCUUGGCGUGGGUUGCUGCUGAGGUUCCAGAGGAGAGCAGCAGGAUGGCCGGGAGCGGAGCCAGGAGUGAGGAAGGCCGCCGGCAGCAUGCCUUCGUCCCGGAACCUUUUGAUGGGGCCAAUGUCGUCCCAAACCUCUGGCUGCACAGCUUUGAAGUCAUCAAUGACCUCAACCAUUGGGACCAUAUCACCAAGCUAAGGUUCCUGAAAGAGUCCCUCAGAGGAGAGGCCCUGGGUGUCUACAAUAGGCUCAGUCCCCAGGACCAGGGAGACUAUGGGACUGUGAAAGAGGCCCUCCUGAAGGCCUUUGGGGUCCCUGGGGCUGCCCCCAGCCACCUGCCCAAAGAGAUCGUCUUUGCCAACAGCAUGGGUAAGGGCUACUAUCUCAAGGGGAAGAUUGGCAAAGUGCCCGUGAGGUUCCUGGUGGACUCUGGGGCCCAGGUCUCUGUGGUCCACCCAAACUUGUGGGAGGAGGUCACUGAUGGCGAUCUGGACACCCUGCAGCCCUUUGAGAAUGUGGUAAAGGUGGCCAAUGGUGCUGAAAUGAAGAUCCUGGGUGUCUGGGAUACAGCGGUGUCCCUAGGCAAGCUGAAGCUGAAGGCACAGUUCCUAGUGGCCAAUGCGAGUGCCGAGGAAGCCAUCAUUGGCACUGAUGUGCUCCAGGACCACAAUGCUAUCCUGGACUUUGAGCACCGCACAUGCACCCUGAAAGGGAAGAAGUUUCGCCUUCUGCCUGUGGGAGGGUCCCUGGAAGAUGAGUUUGACCUGGAGCUCAUAGAGGAGGACCCCUCCUCAGAAGAAGGGCGGCAGGAGCUAUCCCACUGAGAAGCCACCUUUUCUUUAACCUCCUAAAUAUUGGUGGGAAGACCCACCGCUGUGGGGGGGGUUGCAUAUCCUCAUGGGGGUCACUGGGCUUGGCCAGUCUGCUUAUCAACUCUUGCUCUUCUCUCCCCUUUGCCUCCCUCUGCAGGGGCCUUAAUCUGCCCCUGGUAGGGGAGGCUUCCACUGAACAGGCACAGGUGAGGGAGAGCAGGCUGGCUUAGAGGGACAGGGUCCCCAUGGUCAUCAAGCUGCUGUUGAUGACAAAGACUCAAAGGCUGGAAGAGCUCCCAAGGAAGCUAGAAAUGCUUGUCUUUGAAAGAACUGUGGGACCCCUUCAGAUUCCCUGAGGUAUGGCUUGGUCACUCUCAGGUCCUCAAAGCCUGUCUUAGUUGGGCUGGGUCCUAGCUGCAGGGUCUUUGUGAGGGUCACAGUUGCUCUGGGACACCUCCCUGAAGAGCCUUUCCACCUGUACAAUCGUAUUUUCUUUCUGUCAUUUGCUUUGAAGCCCAUUGUGCCUUAUGCCAAUAAUUCAAUU